rnacentral:rRNA from 1 species
AGAGCGUAGGGAGAAUGCCUUGGCAUUAGGAGCCGAUGAAGGACGUGAUAAGCUGCGAUAAGCUGCGGGGAUCAGCAAGUAUGAAUUGAUCCGCAGAUUUCCGAAUGGAGCAAUCCGUAUGUGUAUGCACAUACAUCAUAUACUGAAUCAAAUAGGUAUAUGAGGGGAACCGCCUGAACUGAAACAUCUAAGUAGGGCGAGGAAGAGAAAUCAACCGAGAUUCUGUGAGUAGUGGCGAGCGAAAGCGGAAGAGGCUAAACCAUAGGUAGCAAUACUUAUGGGGUUUCGGACAGCAUUUAGUAUUGAUAAUUUCUAGUUGAAACGUGUGGGAAAACGUACCGAAGAGUGUGAGAGUCACGUAAGCGAAAGAGAAAGUCAGCGAGCUGUAUCCAAAGUACCGCGGGACACGUGAAACCCCGUGGGAAGAUGGGGGGACCAUCCUCCAAGCCUAAAUACUACCUAAUGACCGAUAGCGAAUAGUACUGUGAAGGAACGGUGAAAAGAACCCCGGGAGGGGAGUGAAAAAGAACCUGAAACCCUAUGCUUACAAGCACCGAGAGCACGUCAAAGUGUGAUCGGGUACCUUUUGUAGAAUGGUCCGGCGAGUUAUUGUAUGCGGCAAGGUUAAGUGCUUAAGGCACGGAGCCGAAGCGAGAGCAAGUCUGAACAGGGCGAAAAAGUCGUAUGCAAUAGACCCGAAACCGAGUGACCUAUCCAUGUCCAGGCUGAAGUGGAGGUAAAACUCCAUGGAGGGCCGAACACACGUCCGUUGAAAAGGCCGGUGAUGAGGUGUGGAUAGCGGAGAAAUUCCAAUCGAACUCGGAUAUAGCUGGUUCUCUCCGAAAUAGCUUUAGGGCUAGCCUCGUGAAAGAUUACUGGAGGUAAAGCACUGAAUGGGCUAGGGGUCGAAAGAUUACUGAACCCUAUCAAACUAAGAAUGCCAGAUAAUUGAUUCACGGGAGUCAGACAAUGUGAGAUAAGUCUCAUUGUCAAAAGGGAAACAGCCCAGACCCACAGCUAAGGUCCCUAAACAUUGUUAAGUGGAAAAGGAUGUGGGGUUGCAUAAACAACCAGGAUGUUGGCUUAGAAGCAGCCACUCAUUAAAAGAGUGCGUAAUAGCUCACUGGUCGAGUGACCCUGCGCCGAAAAUUCAACGGGGCUAAAAUCUAUACCGAAGCUUGGGCUGCAAUUGAAAGAUUGCGGGGUAGGGGAGCGUCGUAUAAGAGGAGAAGUCAUAGCGGAAGCGAUGGUGGAUUUUAUACGAGUGAGAAUGCCGGAAUGAGUAGCGAGAAUUAUGUGAGAAUCAUAAUGGCCGAAAAUCUAAGGUUUCCUGAGGAAGGUUCGUCCGCUCAGGGUAAGCCGGGGGCUAAGGCGAGGCGGAGACGCGUAGCCGAUGCACAUACGGUUGAAAUUCCGUAGCCACCGAAAGAUUUAAGUACAGGGACGCUUUAGAAGUGAUGUAGCCGGGCGAUGGUUGACCCGGUCGUAAGGGAUCGAAAAUGAGUAGAGAAGUCAUCAUGGAAAGAGACAAGAAAAGCUGUAUGAAUAUCUUAGGUGCCCGUACCGCAAACCGACACAGGUAGAUAGGAAGAAGAUUCUAAGGCCAACGGGAGAAGGGUUGUUAAGGAACUCGGCAAGUUGACCCCGUAACUUAGGGAUAAGGGGUGCUCAAGUGAUUGAGCCGCAGAGAAUAGGCCCAGGCGACUGUUUAGCAAAAACACAGGUCUCUGCUAAAUCGAAAGAUGACGUAUAGGGGCUGACACCUGCCCGGUGCCGGAAGGUUAAGAGGAGAUGUGAGAGCAUUGAAUUGAAGCCCCGGUAAACGGCGGCCGUAACUAUAACGGUCCUAAGGUAGCGAAAUUCCUUGUCAGGUAAGUUCUGACCCGCACGAAAGGUGUAACGAUCUGGGCACUGUCUCAACAACCCGCCCGGCGAAAUUGUAGUACCGGUGAAGAUGCCGGUUACCCGCGACUAGACGGAAAGACCCCAUGGAGCUUUACUGUAGCCUAAUAUUGGAUUUCGGUAUUUCACGUACAGGAUAGGUGGGAGACUGGGAAGCACAGGCGUCAGCUUGUGUGGAGUCGACCUUGGGAUACCACUCUUGGAGUGCUGGAAUUCUAACCUGCGGCUUUGAAGCAAGUCGGGGGACAUUGUUAGGUGGGCAGUUUGACUGGGGCGGUCGCCUCCUAAAGA